CCUACGGGAGGCAGCAGUGAGGAAUAUUGCACAAUGGGCGCAAGCCUGAUCCAGCCACGCCGCGUGAGCGAAGAAGUAUUUCGGUAUGUUAAGCUCUUUCAGCAAGGGAGUAAAUGCCGGUACCUGUCUAAGAAGCUCUGUCUAAAUACGUGCCAGCAGCCGCGGUAAUACGUCUGGCGCCAGCGUUAUACGGAAUUACUGGGUGUAAAGGGGGCGGAGACGGAUGUGCAAGUCUGAUGUGAAAGGCGGGGGCUCAACCCCUGGACUGCAGUGGAAACUGUAAAUCUUGAGUGCCGGCGAGGUAAGCGGAAUGCGUAGUGGAGCGGUGAAAUGCGUAGAGAUGAGGAGGAACACCGGUUGCGAAGGCGGCUUGCUGGACGGUAACUGACGCUGAGGCUCGAAAGCGUGGGGAGCAAACAGGAUUAGAUACCCGGGUAGUC
rnacentral:rRNA from 1 species